UCGAGUCUUCGGACUUGGGUGGCGCACGGGUGAGUAACGCGUAAAGAACUUGCCUCUUAGACCGGGACAACAUCUGGAAACGGAUGCUAAUACCGGAUAUUAUGGUUUUUUCGCAUGGAGGAAUCAUGAAAGCUAGAUGCGCUAAGAGAGAGCUUUGCGUCCCAUUAGCUGGUUGGUGAGGUAACGGCCCACCAAGGCAAUGAUGGGUAGCCGGCCUGAGAGGGUGAACGGCCACAAGGGGACUGAGACACGGCCCUUACUCCUACGGGAGGCAGCAGUGGGGAAUAUUGGACAAUGGACCGCAAGUCUGAUCCAGCAAUUCUGUGUGCACGAUGACGUUUUUCGGAAUGUAAAGUGCUUUCAGUCGGGAAGAAGUCAGUGACGGUACCGACAGAAGAAGCGACGGCUAAAUACGUGCCAGCAGCCGCGGUAAUACGUAUGUCGCAAGCGUUAUCCGGAUUUAUUGGGCGUAAAGCGCGUCUAGGCGGCAAGGAAAGUCUGAUGUGAAAAUGCGGAGCUCAACUCCGUAUGGCGUUGGAAACUGCCUUACUAGAGUACUGGAGAGGUAGGCGGAACUACAAGUGUAGAGGUGAAAUUCGUAGAUAUUUGUAGGAAUGCCGAUGGGGAAGCCAGCCUACUGGACAGAUACUGACGCUAAAGCGCGAAAGCGUGGGUAGCAAACAGG
rnacentral:rRNA from 1 species